ensembl:lncRNA
GGUUGGUCAUGGAGUUGAAGGUAUCUUGCUGGUGAUUCCUACCUACCUGAGGACUUCUAAGGCAUUAAAGUUGAUGAAGCAACUUUCAUACUUCUACUCCCGGACCUGUUCCUGUGACCCCCACCUCAUGCCCCAGAUGGGUGAUGUCUGAAGGGCUUUGACCAUACAGCUUCUGGAAAUGGCUCUUGAAUCUCCUGCAGUAGGUCCUUGAUUGGGCCCAGCUGAUUGGGAAGAGUCUUUAAAGCAAAACACAGCUGUGAUCUGGAGGAAGAACUGUGUAAUAAACCUGUGUCCUUGGACCCAGCCUGGCAGGACCUUCCCCGGAGGACACAGUCCCAGUAAUUCCCCAGCAGCGCUGCCUCCAGGAGUGAUUGCUAUUUACACCACAAUUUGUUAGAUCUUCUAGAGGAAUACCAGAUAGAUCCAGGGAUGAAUUUGGUUUGGGAAUUUAAGAUGCGUUGGAUCUAGUUUGCUGAAGUAGUUUUUGUGAGUAAUCUAUUUUAAUUAAAGAAAGCAAACAAAAAUGUGGAAAACAAAUGUUAACGGGAGUUGUUUCCUUUCCAGUGGAGCCUGAAUUCCAAAGCUUCAGCAAAGUCUGCUUCCAUAUGGUGCCUCAGGGCAUACAAACACAUCAAUAUGGGAAGAUAAAACCUCCUGACAUUACAAAGCUGGUUGGUCAGAAGACAUGCUGACUGAUUGCUGAUGCUGGGCCCUGAUGCUCUCUGGGGCACAAGUGCUUGGACUGUAGAGGCACCUGUGUACACUGAUGCCCUGUCUGUGUCAGAAUUGCACCCAAACAUGGUCAUUCAGGAAGAUGGGCUGACAGAGCCCGAUGGCAGACAUAGUAAGCCUUUGUCUAGUGAGGAUCUCAGGGUUGGUGAAAGCACAUGAGAGAAAAGCAAAUCACAUCAACCGUGAUUUCUCUUCUCUGGGUUUGCAGCACUGAAAGGAGAUGUGGGGUGUAGGUAGGUUUCUCCAGCUUGUCUCCACAAAUGCUAUUGUACUCCUCAAGUAAUGGCCUGGUUUCCUGUGCAAACUGAUGUGCCUGCUAUUUGGUGACUUGUGUUGUGCCUUUCUGCCAGUACCAUGUUUAUUUUGUGUCAGCAGAAUAAACUUCUUGGACUGCUUUCUUAGGGACAUGGGGAACUGUUAGCCUGAAAACCAAGGAAGAAAUAACAGAGUGCUCAGCUGCCAUAACAGCGAGACACCAAGGAAGACUUGGAUCCCUGGCCUGUCUUCAAAGCCCACCAGCACUGCCUUGCCUUCGAUCUUGUACAGCAGAGCAUGCAAUUGCCAAGGGCCCCAGUUGCUUCCAGAAGCAUACUUGAUUUUUAUAGAGAUGCAUGUAUCCUUGACCUCCAGCUAGCAUUUCCUGCUGCCCUGUGUGAUGUUGACUUACGCUGAUUGCAACAAUGCCCUCAUACUGAGUCUCUGUUUCCAACAGCCGAGCCAUCACGAUAAGUAUGAUCGUAGAUGACACCGACCAAGGCUCUGAUGGCUUUUGGAUCCCAGAUCACACUGAGAAACAUCCAGCUGCUGAGAAACAUUCCCUAGAGAAGACUAUUUCUCUGCAUUAACGAGAGAGGAAAGACUUAUCGGACAGACACCUUGAAUGCCCUUCGUACUGCCUCUUACUCCUAAGAAUCAGCUCCUUCCUGCAGACCUCUGGAAUUACACUUUUCUCCUUCACUUGCUGACUUUAUAAAGACCAAGCCAAACUGUGAGCAUUUGUGACACUUUUUCCUCCAAUUUCUCUUUCCUAAAUAAAGCAAAUAUCCAAACUGCAUUUUGUUCUAUUUUAUUCAUAAGAUGCCUGAGGCAUGCAUUCAAGAGAGAGAAAUCCCAGAUGCACCAACUUGUUUUUCCAUGUGUUGAGUGUACACCUACAGCCUACCUUUAGCAAAAUUUCAUAAUGUCAUUUGAUAAAUGCAUGUAUAUGAGAGAAAUUGCAACAGUGUUAAAAAGAACUGAAAUAUUUUUUCAUUUACCUGACGCAAAGCGUACCUUUUUAUCAAAGCAACUCUCUCAAGCAUCAUCAACGCUUAGUUUAGAAUAUAUUUAGCCACAUACAGUAAAAGAAACAGCUGAGAGAUACUAGGGAAG